CUUUUAGAAGGAUAAUCUGAUUAUUAGAAAAUUCCUUUUUCUUUUUCUUGCAAGCAUUGGAACUUGGGUGUGACAUAAAGAGGCUAAUUAAAAUGGGGAACAAAUUAGAUUAAUUUCCAGGAAUAUAAAAGUGAUAUAAAAGUCUUGUUCUCAACAGUGACUCCAUAAUAGAACAAUUUCAUUUAUGCCUAAGCAGAUCCUUAUUCUGUCUAGUGAGGAUUGUCACCAGUGUCUUACUGACAAGGUUUUUAUUAUUUCUUUGACAGCUUGAUAGUAAGUCAGUGCUUGCUUCUGGGUUUUCAGUCUCUUCAAACUUGGAUUAUGAAGGCUACUAUAAAAAUAUGGAUACAAUGCUACCUCCCCAAAGCCCCAUCUGUUAUGGCCUGCACCCCAAUGUGGAGAUUGCUUUUGUAAUAACUGCAAACAACACGCUCCAUCCAUAUGCUAUUAGAGCUGCAAUUCAAAUACUCAGUCACUGGGAAAGGAGUCUCCCAAGCUGUGGAAGACAAGAAGUGGAUACACAAGACACUUACCUCAUGCAAUGUAGUAUCUCUUGAGGAUGAAGGCAGAGCUAAAUGACAUGGAGAAAAAAAAAUCAUUCAGAAGAAAGUGAGAUCAACUAUUUUAUCCAAACACCAGAAGAAUGCUACUCACAUAAACUGAUUUGUUUUCCAGAAUAUGAGAUUGGAUCUGCUCAUAUAUGAGGAAGCAAAAUGCAAAGCCUCUGAUUAUGGUCUGAUCCUGUUCCAGUGCAGACAUGGAGGGUGAGUUGGCAAUCUCCUCAGAGAUGGAGCAACUACAGACAGCUCUUUUUUUGAUAAUCUUCCUGACACUUGGAUGAGACUGGCUUAUCCAUCAACAUACAGU